UAACAGGGAUUGCUUGCAAUCCGCUGACGACCGGCGCACGGGUGCGUAACGCGUAUGCAACCUACCUUCUACAGGGGGAUAGUCAAUAGAAAUGUUGAAUAAUACCCCAUACGAUCAUGAAUUCGCAUGGAUUUAUGAGGAAAGUUCCGGCGGUAGAAGAUGGGCAUGCGUCCUAUUAGUUAGUUGGUAAGGUAACGGCUUACCAAGACAUCGAUAGGUAGGGGUCCUGAGAGGGAGAUCCCCCACACUGGUACUGAGACACGGACCAGACUCC
rnacentral:rRNA from 2 species